rnacentral:rRNA from 1 species
UGGUGAGAUAAAAGCUCACCAAGGCAACGAUCAGUAACCGGCCUGAGAGGGUGAACGGUCACAUUGGAACUGAGACACGGUCCAAACUCCUACGGGAGGCAGCAGUGGGGAAUAUUGCACAAUGGAGGAAACUCUGAUGCAGCGACGCCGCGUGAGCGAUGAAGGUUUUCGAAUCGUAAAGCUCUGUCCCAUGGGAAGAUAAUGACGGUACCAUGGGAGGAAGCCCCGGCUAACUACGUGCCAGCAGCCGCGGUAAUACGUAGGGGGCGAGCGUUGUCCGGAAUUAUUGGGCGUAAAGGGUUCGCAGGCGGAAAUAUAAGUCAGGUGUAAAAGGCGGAGGCUCAACCUCCGUAAGCAUUUGAAACUAUAUUUCUUGAGAUAUGGAGAGGUGAGUGGAAUUCCUAGUGUAGCGGUGAAAUGCGUAGAUAUUAGGAGGAAUACCAGUGGCGAAGGCGACUUACUGGACAUAUACUGACGCUGAGGAACGAAAGCAUGGGUAGCAAACAGGAUUAGAUACCCUGGUAGUCCAUGCUGUAAACGAUGAGUGCUAGGUGUCGGGGGUGACCUCGGUGCCGUAGUUAA